UCCGGUUUGACACCGGCAGUCUCCCAUGAGUCCCCGACAUUACUCGCUGGCAACAUAGGAUAAGGGUUGCGCUCGUUGCGGGACUUAACCCAACACCUCACGGCACGAGCUGACGACAACCAUGCACCACCUGUAUAGGACGCCGAAGCACACCACAUCUCUGUGGUUUUUCCCUAUAUGUCAAGCCCUGGUAAGGUUCUUCGCGUUGCGUCGAAUUAAGCCACAUGCUCCGCCGCUUGUGCGGGCCCCCGUCAAUUCCUUUGAGUUUCAGCCUUGCGGCCGUACUCCCCAGGCGGGGCACUUAAUGCGUUAGCUUCGGCACGGAGGGAGUGGAUAACCCCCCACACCUAGCACCCAUCGUUUACGGCGUGGACUAC
rnacentral:misc_RNA from 1 species